GAAGUGUUAAUUAAAUCGCACCUCAGAAAAAGUGGAGAAUUAAUUAGACGCAAAAUAAUAAAUGGUAGUAACUUUCUGUAUAUGAAUUUCUAUCCACAUAAUUUUUAAUGGAUGCUGUGAGGACAAUUUUUGGUAUUAGGAUUUUUCUAGCAUACAAAGUAAGCUUUUCUAAAACUUUCUCUCUGGAGUAUGUAAAAAAAUAUGGGGAUCUUUUGUGCAUGUAAAGUCGCAAAGAUUCUUGACUAACAAGGAAAUGAAAGGUCCGAUAGUUAGGCAGUAUGCGAUCCUUUAUUCAGUACAAUUCUCGCUGGACAGCCCCCAGAAUGAGAGAGCAGGCAGGGGUGAUACAGUUAGGUUUUCCAAGAUUUAAGUAAUGGUAAUUUUAUACCAGAUGGAGCACCGGAAAUUUAUCGAUAUUUUCUGUAGUUAUGUUUUACGUUAUUUCGAUUUAAACACGAGUAUUUGAAGCUCUCCCACUUCUUUGGUAUCCUAGUCCACCAAUUAGCAGCAUUCUUGAAUUGGUGAGGUGAUUAUUUAUACAAAAUUUGGCCCUCACAUAUUUAAAUAGUUCAUAUAAAUUAACAGUCAAGACGGUCAUUAAUAAGGUAUAUUUUAUGACUUCUAGUGAUCUCCAUCCUCCAGGUAUCAGAAAUACAGUUAUCUUUUAGUGGACAAUAAUGGGAUAUUGCCCUGUGUUAGGAAUGCAGCAGAUAACUGGUUAUCUGUGCAGAUGCUUGUGAGAGCAGAUAAUUGAUUAUCUGCUUAAGGUGUACCUAGAUAGCGCAAGGGUUACUGCGACCCACUCUGAUCCGUCACGCAGCCUACCGAUAUCAGAGGUUGCACUAUAAGAAAUACCAGGAAGUAUAUUCCCUAAAAUUACGGGAAUGAUGAAAUCCGCGAUGUGAUUUCAUGUGCAGAUAAGCUAAUAAUACAAAGUAACACCGUAACCCGGAACAAGGAAAUAUUAAUAUGUAAUAGUAAUUUAAAUGUGAUUUGCAUUGACGUCAUUAUUCAUGAUGUUGCAUCAUCAUCUUCAUGUGCAUUAUGCAACAUUUAGGUUAUCCGUAUGAUAAAUGAUUAUCUAUAUAUGUACAAUGUCGAGCUCACAUAUUUAAAUAGUUCACACAAAUUAAUAGUAACGAUAUAAUCAAGACGGUCAUUAAUAAGGUACAUAUUAUGACUUCCAAUGAUCUCCAGGUAUCAAAAGCACAGUUAUCUUUUAGGUUAUCCGUAUGAUAGAAAGUUAUUACACCAAAGUUUACGACUUAGCUUAACCAAUAUGAUGAUUUGAAUUUCAUUUGGUAGACAAUCAAGUAGCUAUUUGUAGGUGUAUUUAAUAUCUUAAAAACUGACUAUUUCUUGUUAAUUACACGAUUUCAGUCUAAAAGAUUAGAAUAUAGGAUGAUCAGUACGUGGUAAUGUGUCCAUGAUAUUGAAUUUGUUAUUUAAAAGAGUGCGAUUUCAAGAAGAGUUGCAUCUUAGAUAGGUUUCAUAUAGCUUGUAUGUCAACAAAGACUGUUUGGUUGUUUCGCCAAGAAGUUGACCUUGUCGUAGUAAAUGUAGAAGAGAUGACAUUAAGCUUAGAAUAUAGGAUAGUUAAUGGCACGUGGUAAUGUGCCCCUUACACUAAAUUAGUUAUUCAGUUUAAAA